UACAGAGGGUGCGAGCGUUAAUCGGAAUUACUGGGCGUAAAGCGUGCGUAGACGGUUAUUUAAGUCGGAUGUGAAAGCCCCGGGCUCAACCUGGGAAUUGCAUUCGAGACUGAAUAGCUAGGGUGCGGUAGAGGGAAGCGGAAUUUCCGGUGUAGCGGUGAAAUGCGUAGAUAUCUGGAGGAACACCGGUGGCGAAGGCGGCAUCCUGGACCGGUAUUGACGCUGAGGCGCGAAAGCCAGGGGAGCAAACGGG
rnacentral:rRNA from 1 species